rnacentral:misc_RNA from 1 species
UUUCUUAUUAUAAAGCACAUGCAUUAACCAGAGUGUGUGUGAGCAGCUGUUCGGGUUGUCCCUUUCACAGCAGUAGUGCACAGUGUUUCAAGUGGGGUUUCGGACUCAACAGACAUCCUAGUAAUCACUAAUGAUCCUUCCGCAGGUUCACCUACGGAAA